UACAGAGGUCCCAAGUGUUGUUCGGAUUCACUGGGCGUAAAGGGUGCGUAGGCGGUCGGGUAAGUCUGAUGUGAAAUCUCACAGCUUAACUGUGAAACUGCAUUGGAUACUAUCCGGCUAGAGGAAUGGAGGGGAGACUGGAAUACUUGGUGUAGCAGUGAAAUGCGUAGAUAUCAAGUGGAACACCAGUGGCGAAGGCGAGUCUCUGGACAUUUCCUGACGCUGAGGCACGAAAGCCAGGGGAGCAAACGGG
rnacentral:rRNA from 1 species